rnacentral:siRNA from 1 species
UCGCACCUGCUGGUUUACCAGUC